UGGCUCAAUUGGUAGAGCAUGGUGUUUGCAACGCCAGGGUUGUGGGUUCAAUUCCCAU
rnacentral:tRNA from 1 species